rnacentral:rRNA from 1 species
UACGUAGGGUGCAAGCGUUAAUCGGAAUUACUGGGCGUAAAGCGUGCGCAGGCGGUUUCGCAAGUCAGAUGUGAAAGCCCCGGGCUUAACCUGGGAACUGCAUUUGAAGCUACGAGGCUAGAGUGUGUCAGAGGGGGGUAGAAUUCCACGUGUAGCAGUGAAAUGCGUAGAGAUGUGGAGGAAUACCGAUGGCGAAGGCAGCCCCCUGGGAUAACACUGACGCUCAUGCACGAAAGCGUGGGGAGCAAACAGG